rnacentral:rRNA from 1 species
UACGGAGGGUGCGAGCGUUGUCCGGAAUCAUUGGGCGUAAAGGGCGCGUAGGUGGCCCGGUCAGUCCGUGGUGAAAGCGCGGGGCUCAACCCUGCGUCGGCCAUGGAUACUGCCGCGGCUGGAGCACUGUAGAGGCAGGCGGAAUUCCGGGUGUAGCGGUGGAAUGCGUAGAGAUCGGGAGGAAGGCCGGUGGCGAAGGCGGCGCUCUGGAACGUUACUGACGCUGAGACACGAAAGCGUGGGGAGCAAACAGG